rnacentral:rRNA from 1 species
GAACGAACGCUGGCGGCAUGCCUACCCCAUGCAAGUCGAACGAGACCUUCGGGUCUCGUGGCGCACGGGUGCGUAACGCGUGGGAACCUGCCUUUAGGUUCGGAAUAACUCAGAGAAAUUUGAGCUAAUACCGGAUGAUGUCUUCGGACCAAAGAUUUAUCGCCUUUAGAUGGGCCCGCGUUGGAUUAGCUAGUUGGUGGGGUAAAGGCCUACCAAGGCGACGAUCCAUAGCUGGUCUGAGAGGAUGAUCAGCCACACUGGGACUGAGACACGGCCCAGACUCCUACGGGAGGCAGCAGUGGGGAAUAUUGGACAAUGGGCGAAAGCCUGAUCCAGCAAUGCCGCGUGAGUGAUGAAGGCCUUAGGGUUGUAAAGCUCUUUUACCCGAGAUGAUAAUGACAGUAUCGGGAGAAUAAGCUCCGGCUAACUCCGUG